UACGUAGGGUGCAAGCGUUAAUCGGAAUUACUGGGCGUAAAGCGUGCGCAGGCGGUUAUGUAUGACAGGGGUGAAAUCCCCGGGCUUAACCUGGGAACUGCAUUUGUGACUGCAUAGCUAGAGUACGGUAGAGGGGGAUGGAAUUCCGCGUGUAGCAGUGAAAUGCGUAGAUAUGCGGAGGAACACCGAUGGCGAAGGCAAUCCCCUGGACCUGUACUGACGCUCAUGCAUGAAAGCGUGGGGAGCAAACAGG
rnacentral:rRNA from 1 species